rnacentral:rRNA from 1 species
CCUAAGGGUGGCUGCAGUGGGGAAUAUUGGACAAUGGGCGAAAGCCUGAUCCAGCCAUGCCGCGUGUGUGAAGAAGGCCUUCGGGUUGUAAAGCACUUUCAGUGGGGAAGAAAGCCUUGGGGCUAAUACCCUCGAGGAAGGACAUCACCCACAGAAGAAGCACCGGCUAACUCCGUGCCAGCAGCCGCGGUAAUACGGAGGGUGCGAGCGUUAAUCGGAAUUACUGGGCGUAAAGCGCGCGUAGGCGGUCUGAUAAGCCGGUUGUGAAAGCCCCGGGCUCAACCUGGGAACGGCAUCCGGGACUGUCAGGCUAGAGUGCAGGAGAGGGAGGUAGAAUUCCCGGUGUAGCGGUGAAAUGCGUAGAGAUCGGGAGGAAUACCAGUGGCGAAGGCGGCCUUCUGGACUGACACUGACGCUGAGGUGCGAAAGCGUGGGUAGCAAACAGGAUUAGAUACCCGUGUAGUC